rnacentral:rRNA from 1 species
UUGAUGAACGCUAGCGACAGGCUUAACACAUGCAAGUCGAGGGGCAGCAUGGUAGGUAGCAAUACUUAUUGAUGGCGACCGGCGCACGGGUGAGUAACGCGUAUGCAACUUACCUAUCAGAGGAGGAUAGCCCGGCGAAAGUCGGAUUAAUACUCCAUAAAACAGGGAUCCCGCAUGGGAAUAUUUGUUAAAGAUUCAUCGCUGAUAGAUAGGCAUGCGUUCCAUUAGGCAGUUGGCGGGGUAACGGCCCACCAAACCGACGAUGGAUAGGGGUUCUGAGAGGAAGGUCCCCCACAUUGGUACUGAGACACGGACCAAACUCCUACGGGAGGCAGCAGUGAGGAAUAUUGGUCAAUGGCCGAGAGGCUGAACCAGCCAAGUCGCGUGAAGGAUGAAGGAUCUAUGGUUUGUAAACUUCUUUUAUAGGGGAAUAAAGUGUGGGACGUGUCCCAUUUUGUAUGUACCCUAUGAAUAAGCAUCGGCUAACUCCGUGCCAGCAGCCGCGGUAAUACGGAGGAUGCGAGCGUUAUCCGGAUUUAUUGGGUUUAAAGGGUGCGUAGGUGGUAAUUUAAGUCAGCGGUGAAAGUUUGUGGCUCAACCAUAAAAUUGCCGUUGAAACUGGGUUACUUGAGUGUGUUUUGAGGUAGGCGGAAUGCGUGGUGUAGCGGUGAAAUGCAUAGAUAUCACGCAGAACUCCAAUUGCGAAGGCAGCUUAC